UGGGAAGUGGCUCAGUGGCAGAGCACUUGCCUAGCAAGAGUAAAGCCCUGGGUUUCAUUCCCAGCACCACAC
rnacentral:tRNA from 1 species